rnacentral:lncRNA from 1 species
AUAGGGUGACUCGGCGAGUAGGGUUGACCUGGAAGGUUGACUUUGACCAGGACUUUGACUUUGACCAGAGUUGACUUGGUUGUCUUUCGGGGGUCGGUUUGACUCAGUGUUGCAUUGAUAUUGGUAGCUUGGGGAGCAGGAGUUCAGAGAGUUGCCGGGCAGCAGCUAGUGGGUUCAUCAGCCAGUUCAGCUGGUGCAGGUGAGUUUCCCUUUGUAUGAAUGGGUCUACGGCCACAAUGCCGGCCCGUGUAGUUAUGAGUAGAAGACCCGGGGGUUAGCCCUAGGCACAGUAUGCUAGUAUGAUAUUCGGGAUGAGGUCCAAUGAUAGAGGGUAGGUGCCCAAGGAAUGGUUUAUGUGAUAGUUUAUACUUAUUGUCUGUGUGAUACUAGUAUGUGCCUGGUAGGGAGGUGAGUGUGGGCGAGGUCCCGUAUCUCACCAAUAGCAGAUUAUGGAUGGUGUUCCACAUCUCAGUAGAAACAGAUCAGGGGAGAGGCCCAAGUUAGGGAAGGAGUGAGGGUGGGCUGGGCCCGUACCUCACUAUCAGCAGGAGUAUGGACGGGGUUGCAUGACUCAUCGGUAGUAGGACAAGGGCGGGGCCCAUAGUUAGGCGAGGCGUUAGGAUAAGAUCCGUUAGUAUGUGUUUAGCUUCUGUGAUGUGAUGUGAUAUGUUUAUGUUCUAUUAUAUGUUAGUAGGCGAAGCCCUGUGACAGGUGAGGCCUAAGUGAAACAGUAUGUGCAGUAUGUGGUUAGUAGCGGGCGAGGCCCAGGAUAGCGGGCGUGGCCCAGUAUGUGCAGUAUGUGGUUAUGCAUGGUAUGUGGUAUGGUGAAGAACUCACUAAGCUUCGUGCUUACGGUUUUCAGUUUUGGUUUCAGGUACUUCCGGUAGCGGAGGGAAGAGCUCGGGGUGAUCGCAUGACACACACCAUAGAUUAGACAGCCUGGGAAUGUUUACUCUGAUAACGAACAUGUAUUUUGCAAGCUAAUACACUGAUUAUGUUUUGAAAUGAUGAAUUUGCUUAAAGUAAUGUUUUAUUAAAAGAAAUUUUUAGUCUUAAAUUUUGGGACGUUACAAGUUGGUAUUAGAGCCUUGGUUUGAGGGAUUCGGACAUGUUCUCGGGUGUGUCUGAACUCAAACUGAGGAAUUGGUAUAGAAGUUUUCAAAAUGAAAAGACAGUUUUGUAAAAAGAGAGUUUUGGGAAAGAAAACAGUUUUAGAAAAGAAAAAAUAAUUCUGAAAGAAAAGAACUUUGAAAUGAGAAAAAGGGUGUGGUGCAUGCAAUCAACUGAGCUCAAGUAAGUACCCCAAAAUACCCAUACAAGUUUAUGAUUUGAUUAUGAGUUAGUAGAACAGCAUGCUAGAAUAUGGCUAAGGAUCUAGGGAUGAUGCCUUAUGUGCCUGUUAUAUGUGCUUUCGAGCUGCAUGAUAGUGCUGAUUAGACAGUAGUAGGAUAGCCUGUUUAGGUUAUGCCUGAGUCUAUGAGUUAUGUGAGUCUAUGAGUUGUGUUGCAUGCUAGUUCUGAUUCUUGUUGCGUGGAUAUGAUUGCUUGAGUAUAUUAUGGUUAGAUUUUCCCUUGUCUGAAUGUUGCUUGCUUUGUGCAUUGUGGGAUACUGAGUGAUGGGAGUUAGCCAUUAGGUGGAUACGACACGUCACAUGUGAUCAGGGUUGAAUAAUCUCAGAGUGCUGGAUUUGGUCCUAUUGCGCAGCUCUUGUUUGAGUCCAACCGUUGUAGGGACGAGUCUUUUACUUGAAGGAUUAUCUGAGCCUCGUCACAUGUGAUGGUAUCCAGGUGAUGGCUAAUUGGCAUCACAAGGAGACCUUCAGCAGCUGAGGACUGGUUUGAGUUGAGUCAGAGGUUUUCCUAGGGUAAGCCUAGGAUGAGAUAGUGCUGGGAGCAGUAGUAGUGGAUAAGGGACCUGGUGGAGUCGAAGCAAUUCCUGAGGAAAGUAUGGAUAGAUGUGGAAGGUAGUAUGGGCCCGUACUACUGAAAGCAGAGGAUCCGUACUCGAUUCGGGAAAGGUCGAGACAAGACCGGGAACCUGGUAGGGUGUGUUUGGUCUCGCAUCAGUGAUGAGUAUUCUGAUAGUGGUUGUAGUAUAUUUUCAGCAUGGUUACAUUGCGAGAGAGACCAGCGGGCGGAUCAGGUGCCGGAGAGGGAUCAGACUCGGGUACAGGGGCCGAGCAGCUCGAGGAGUGAAUGAGGGAGUUGAUAUCCGCCGAGGUUACGCGCAGUAUUCUAGAUCAGACUCCUGUGAUCUUUGGCACGGUCAAGGAGGGUAUAUUGGAGAUUUUGGAUGAGAGGCUGGGAGCCUUCCAUACUGAGAUGAUGGCAUUGAUGGGAGUGCGUACCUUGACAUUUCGGGAAUUCAGGGCUUGUGGGGCACCAGAUUAUCAUGGGGCUAGGGACCCCAUCGCUAGCAGCAGAUGGUUGGUUGAUGUUUCCAACGCAUUCCGUACGAGCCCGUGUCCUGAGGGGGACAAGGUUAGACUCGCUUCAUGGCUUCUGAAGGACAAAGCGAGGGAUUGGUGGGAGGAGACUGGUCAUUCUUUGGGGGAUGAUGCCGCGUUGGACGCGAUGACUUGGAGCGAUUUCUCGGCCAGGUUCAGGGCGGAGUUUUUGCCGAUUAUUGAGGUGCAGCAGUUGACACGGGAGUUUCAGGAUUUGACGCAGACCACUAAGACUAUGGCGGAGAUCACCGCCAAGUUCAGGGAGAGGGCUCUUCUUGUACCGCAGUAUGUCGCGGAUGAGGAGAUGAAGAAGGCCCGAUACCAUGAGAUGUUGAGGGAUGACAUCAGGGAGUUCGUGAGCAGAUCCAGCUGUAAGACGCUGGAAGAUAUGAUUUCUCGGGCUAGAGAGAGGGAAAUUGAUUUGGAGCAGAUCCGGAAGAGGAAGCCGGAUGAGGUUCAGGUAGCUGCAGGUUCGGGCAAAAGGCCCAAGGGAUCAGAUUCGAGAUCGAGGGAUUAUCAGGACCGCAGUCGGUGCGGGAAGUGUGGCAGGGCGCACGGGGGCGCAUGCAGGAGUGGUAGCGGUGGUGAGUCUGGCUGUUUCAAGUGCGGUCGGACUGGUCAUUUCAGCAGGGAUUGUACUGUUACCACCGCACAGGGAUCAGACUUGUUAUGUUUUCACUGCAAUCAGCGGGGCCACAAGAAGGCCCAGUGCCCCAGUUUGUUUUCAGCAGGACGGGUGAUGGCACCUGCCCUUGCAACUUUGAGGAUCACAGACGGCCGUCAGGGCCGUGCAGAGGCGCCUGCGGUAGGAGGCAGAGCUCUUCAGAUGACUACCUUAGAGGCGCGAUCAGCACCGGACGUUGCAGGUAUGCGAUUUCUGUUUUCAGUUCUUUUAUUUGUGCAUGAUUAUAUUGUUAUGGUUCUGCAUCAUUAUCGGUAUGAGUAUUUUAUUUUGUGUGGCUUGCUUGUGAUCGAGUUAUAUGCCAUCUGCAUACCUUGGAUAUUUGAAUGGUAGUUAGGGGAUGUGCUCUAUUGGAGAAGGUUUCAUAGGAUGCAGUAACUGUAGCAUGCUUGGGAGGGACUUGGUAUGUCUCGCUAGAUCGGAGUUGUAUAGUGUUAGAGAUGGAUUGGUUAGAUCCCUAGCUAUGGUAAGCUUGGGUUCCUCAGCAGAUUGAUUAUGGAAUGGUAGCAAGGAUUGGGAUUUCUUUUUGAGUAUUGAGCAACAAGGGGUAAGCAGGAUCGAAGUGGGGGAGAAUCCUCCGAGUGUGCAAAGGUAGGAGCACGCAGACCCAGGAUGAGUGCGCGACCUCCGAGAAGGAAAAGAAGUAGUUCAGCGUUUGAUGGAUUGAGGAUUUCAGGGUUGGGAGUUUGAGAAACUCCCCAUCAGCUAGUGCGUGUGAUGGUAAUGGUUAGUACGUGGUUGGGAAUUCAGGUUGUGGAUCGCCCGUAGGACUCGAGGGAGUCGGAAUGAGGAUCUUGAGAGCUAAUGGCACAUGGGUGCCUUCGUAUUAGCAGUCAGUGGUAGGAAGUGAUGUAAGACUACGGGGCAGCCGUAGCAUUCACUAGCAGUCAGCAAUGGAUGGUGAUGUAAGACUACGGGUAAGCCGUAGCAUUCCUUAGUAGCUUCGUUAGCGGAGUUGGGGCGAGGCCCUUAUCUCCUAGUGAUCAGAUAGGGAUCAGGAAUGGGUAGUGGAUGAGAAUGAUAGGGAGUUUGCCUGUAUAGCCCUAGAGAGGUGAGACCUUGGGAGAGGCCGCUCCAGGAUAUAGUUGGGUGAGACCCGUGGGCGAGGCCCGUAUGAGAUUAGCAGUGUAGAUGAGACCUGGGAGCAGGGUUGCUCAGUAGUAUGGUUGGGUGAGACCCGUGGGCGAGGCCCGAGCGAGAGUGAUUAGACUAGUGGGACUAGAAGGAUAGAGGCGGGUGGGACCCGUGGGCGAGGCCCGUGAGUUUUAGCAGCACAGGUGGGACCUGGUAGGGACCUUAGUGUCAAGUUAGGGGAUCGAGGAUCCCAGGUUUGUAGUGCCUGAAUGGCAGAAUAGAUUGAGCAGUUAUAGGUGGUCGAAGUUUCUUCGGAAGUCGCUGGGAGCGACUAGUGGUGGUGUUGGGACUAGCUACCGGUGGGAGCCGGUAAUCCAGACAUUGAUAGGUUGGUAGGGACCAGGGUGGUCUCAGUUCAUCCGGAAGGCAGACAAGGAAUAGCAGAAUUUUUCAGUCAGUAGUACUGUGGGUAAGCAGUGUAUGGUGGAAUUCAGUUAGUUGAAUCGAGGGGUGCUCGACACCAAGUUUUGACAGAGAAUAGUGUCAGUGGUUACUGGCGGUGAUGACCCGUAAUGGAAGUAGUGGGAAUAAUGGAUUGGUGAAGAUAGGAUCUUCACAGUGACAGGGGGAAAUAGUUGGUUAUGGAGCAUCGCCUUAGGAAGGCAAGGGAAUCGCGUAAGGAAAGAAGGGGUCAACCCCUAUGAGUUCAAGUGCAGUACUCGGAGAGUACCAGAAGGAUUGUCGGUUGAGUAAGUUGUGUUUCUAAAUUGUUCAGGGUCAGGUUUGACCCGAGGUUUUUAUCCGCGAGGAUUAUGUUAGUCAGAAUGACCGGGUGGAAGACCAGCGAAGGUAGGCAGCUGGUGUUGGGAUAAUUGGUGGGUUUUGAAAGCAGAUCGCAGGCGAUGGGCCACAACAAACUUCGAGGAUGAAGUUUAGUUUAAGUGGGGGAGAGUUGUAACACCCAAAGUUUUGAAGGCCAAGAAAGGAAAGAAAACCCUAACUUUAAGGGGAGACUCGGCGAGUCCAAGGAGGAAUUCGGCGAGUCCAAUCGGGAUCCGGGUCGAGGAGUAAGUGACCGACUCAGCGAGUCGGCCAAGGAGACUUGGCUAGUCAGGUCUGUUCGAGGAAAACCCUAAAUUCGGUAUUUGGGGCCUAUUUAAGCGCCUCAUUCUCUUCCCUAGGGUUCCUUUACUGCCUCUUUAACCCAUAAUGCCAAACCCUAGCCGCCAUAUCCAUUGAUUAAGUCAAUUUUUGUCUUGAGGAGUGCAUUAAAGCUUGGAGAAGGAAGAAGGAUCUUGAAGGUGCAAGGAGGGGGCUAUAGAUCUGAGAUUGGGAAGAUAUUUCUGAACAUCUGAAGGUAUUAAGUCGUUUCCCUUCCUUUAGAUCUAUUUUGGUUGUGAGUUUUGGGGCUUUUAGCCAUGUGUAGUGAUCCAUUUGAGUUAGAAGCCGGAUCUGGAGUUGCUACUUCAGAUCUAAGUAUAUUUUGGUCUUGGAAAGCAUAAAGUUUCAGCCCUGGAGUUGAUUAUGGAGCCUCUUUGCCUUAAACCCUAGUGUAUGGUGUAUUUUGCCCAAAUCUCCUUCUCUACACGUAAAGUUUGCAACUUUACGUGAGGAAUAGGCUUGGGAAGGGUAGAUGUAUAGUUUGGAGUCCAUGCAUGAAUCAAAAGUCCUCUGCAUGUAUAGAGAUCUGAAUGAACUCCGCGAGUCCUUUGAUUGGACUCGGCGAGUAGCAUGAAGAUGAGGAGGAACUCGACGAGUGGGAUGAACAGCUCGUCGAGGCAGAUGAAGUUGGGCAGGAACCCGGUGAGUUGGAUGAACAACUCGGCGAGUCUUUUGAAGGUUGUCUUGGACCCGGCGAGUCUGUUCUUGGACUCGGCGAGUCAGGUCGCGAAACCCCAAACCNGAGACUCGGUGAGUUGGACAGGUUAGGACUCGGUAAUCGGUAGACUCGGCGAGUCAUGGACUUACUCGGCGAGUCGAGUCGCGAAUAGAAGGACUCUGAACAUAUGAACUCGGCGAGUCAAUAGGGUGACUCGGCGAGUAGGGUUGACCUGGAAGGUUGACUUUGACCAAGAAUUCGACUUUGACCAGAGUUGACUUGGUUGUCUUUCGGGGGUCGGUUAGACUCAGUGUUGCAUUGAUACUGGUAGCUCGGGGAGCGAGUGGAGCAGGAGUUCAGAGAGUUGUCGGACAGCAGCUAGUGGGUUCAUCAGCCAGUUCGGCCAGUGUAGGUGAGUUUCCCGUUGUAUGAAUGGGUCUAGGGCCGUAAUGCUGGCCCAUGUAGUUAUGAGUAGAAGACCCGGGGUUAGCCCUAGGCAUAGUAUGCUAGUAUGGUAUUCGGGACGAGGUCCAAUGAUAGAGGGCGGGUGCCCAAGGAAUGGUUUAUGUGAUAGUUUAUACUUGUUGUAUGUGUGAUACUUGUAUGUGCCUGGUAGGGAGGUGAGUGUGGGCGAGGUCCCGUAUCUCACCAAUAGCAGAGUAUGGAUGGUGUUCCACAUCUCAGUAGCAGCAGAUCAGGGGCGAGGCCCAAGUUAGGGAAGGAGUGAGGGUGGGCUGGGCUCGUAACUCACUAUCAGCAGGAGUAUGGACGGGGUUCCAUGACUCAUCAGUAGCAGGACAAGGGCGGGGCUCAGAGAUAGGCGAGGCCUUAGGACAAGAUCC